AGGGUGUAAACGCUACAGACUUGGUGUUGGAAAUCCUUCGAGGGUAUUCAGUGCCGGAGAGAAGUUGUUAAGUCUGCUACUUGGGGAGUACGUCCGCAAGGAUGAAACUUAAAGGAAUUGGCGGGGGAGCACCGCACAGGAGGAGCGUGCGGUUUAAUUGGAUUCAACACCGGAAAACUCACCAGGGGAGACUGUUACAUGAAACCCAGACUAAUGAUCUUGGUUGAUUUUCAGAGAGGAGGUGCAUGGCGUCAGUGACU
rnacentral:rRNA from 1 species